rnacentral:tRNA from 1 species
UCUAAUAUGGCAGAUAAGUGCAGUAGAUUUAAGCUCUACAAAUAAAGAUUAUUCUUUUGUUAGAA